AUAAGGAAUUUCAGAUGGAGCUAAUUCUAUGUCUGUCAUUGAAAAGCCAGCUUAAGGAGGGAGAUGCUUUGGUUUACAUUAUUUAAAUGCAGCUGCAACACGUGAGCACUGCUCUGUGAAAGCCCCGCAUGACAGGCGCGUUCUCAGGAAAAGGAAGAAAAAUCACUGUGAAAUGAAGGGCAUUUUCUUCAGUGAAUAAACUGUGAAGAGACGAGCUUAAAUCUAACUUCAACGAGAUCUUUAAUAUGCUGUUUAGGUGUUUUAAGGGGAUGAGAAUGCCCUUUGAUAUUAGUCCUGCUCCUGAGAUAUUUCACACAGUAAUUGCCUACGUCUUUAAGGUACGAUGUAUUGAAACUAUGGUGACUGCUGUUUUAAAUUGGGCAAUGGCUUCGGGAAAGGAGAACGGGAGACCCAGGCAAGAGCUGCAGCGAGUGCAGCAGGCACUUCAGAAUGAACUUUAAAAGGUCAAAAUUUGGUCUAGCAGAAUUACCUAUACCAGCUCCGAGCUGAGCUAAGACGGCUUUGUUGCCAAUUUAGAUAAAACAGAAGCAAUAAUUAGAAUGUCUAGCCUCCAGGAUAUAAAGCAGAUCUACAGAGAUUUAUGAAAACAAUAUACUGUUUGGCAAUAUCCAUUCCGAAAUCUAUGGCCGGCGUUUCCUCAGGAGAGCAGCGCUGCAGUCCGAAAUUGCCUGGCAUCGUGCAGGCAGACGAGCGAGCGCCGAGAGGGCAGAGCCGCGGUGACGGGGACGUUGCCAGCACGCCGGGGGACGCUGCCAGCAGGCCUGGGAUGUCAGCCGGCACUGGGAGAGCUCGGCACAGCCAAAUGCAAAAUACCAAGGGUCUGGCACAUCCACAGCUGGCUUUGCAGAGCCUGCCUAGCACAAGCCCUGUCCUGUCGCCUGCACCGCAGCAAAAGGGAUUAAAGCAGGCGGUGGAGUAUUCCUUCUUUAGGAAAUCUGCAGUUGCUUAAGCCAAGAGAAAAAGCACUGCAGGGUGUCCUGGGGGAGCAGCCCUGCUCCAGGCUGGGUGGGAGCACGGGGUGCUCGGGCUGGUCCCUCUGUAACCACAGUCACCUGCAGCUGCUGCUGUCAGCACCUGAACCUGGCCUCCCACGCUCCACAGGUGAGCAGGAUGCACAGAGGGCUUCACUUAAAAGACUCGACUUCGGGAGGUGCUAGGCACCAAGUCCUUCCUACAGCUAAAUGAGUGUCUGAAACACUGCUGGAGUCCUGACACGCCUGUGCUGGAGGUGUAGGCCAGGUGCUCUGCUGUGGUUCUGUCCUGCUGCUCUGCACCUCGCAGAACCAAGCCCACAGCAACCAGCAGAAAAGAGCGAAGGCAGGAGGACAGCCCAAGCACCUAGCGAGGGCACGGAGGUGGCCAGGCCUUCACCCACACACCUCCACCAUGCGAUCCAGGGCCCGCAGUUUGGUGCCAUGUCCUCAGUCUGUCCCUGCUUGGCUGCAAGCAGCCAUCGGGCCCUGCUGUCACUUGUGGGCCGUGACCAUGGGACACCCUGUGGGAGCACUGCGCUCAAAGCUCCUGGGCCCCAAGCCUGGCUUCCCACAAGCAACUCACAGGUAGACAAGGAAUGCAUGGUUAGAAAUCAAAAAACCAAAAACCUGCAUCAGAAUUACAGGAGAGAGCUAAGAUACGAGAAAUAAGAAAACAGCCCAUAAACGUGGGCAGAACCGUGACCUAUUCAUUUAAUCUAUCAAAAAUACAAACACGCCGGAUCCACAUGAAGGUCCAGACACAGCACGCUGGAGAAUUUUAAAAGAAAUCUCUGAAGACCAUCUUGAAAAAUAAUCUUCCCUUCAUCACGAGAGUUAUCUGGGGCCUGGGAAAGGCCAAAUGUGCAUCCCAUUACAGGAAAGAUUGAGAAGAUGGAGCAGUAGUCUGCCGCCCACCUCCCCGCAGCUCUGGCAGGCAAGUUUCAAACUGAUUUUUUUUCUCAUCCCUAGUCUCCUCCUUCCCUGCUUCUCCUUGUUACUGUCUCACCGAGCUGGCAGCCUCUGCCCAGGGCUCCACACAGCUGCGGGGAGCUCAGGGAUCAGGAAGCCUGCUUGCAGCAGGCGCUUUUUUCCUGCAUACACAAAUAUGCUUCAGAUCUUCCAGUGUGUCAGGAGCAGGUAUGUCUGCACUCCACCUUUGCUUUUGCACAUGGACCCUUUAUUUUCCAAAAUAAGAAGGUAGCUUGGUGCAAGUGGGGAAUGGGGAAAUAAUCCAUAGCCUUUUUAAGUGCACUCCCCUGGAAAUAAGAAUUUCAAUAACCUCCAUUCUCAGGUACCCCGCUGAGCUGCUGUGCCUCUCGUUCCCUCUCUGGGAAGCAGAUGCAUCGCGCUCCCCAGCCCUUCCUUGUUUUGGGAAGGGAACAAGAUGUGAGAGAGCUGCUGUGAUCUGAGGAGCAGAAGCUGAGAGAGGUUUAUAUAGCACUGUAAAGCAGCAUAAACUUUAGUGAGGAUGGGGAAGCUUCUCUUUGCCCAGCUCCUUCCUGCACACAGCUCACACCAGGGAUGCAUCCCAAAGAGCUUGCAAGUGGAGCACACAAAAACUUGGUAAUUAGGAAGACAAUGCAGGAUGCACCUUGAACCUUGCAAGCAGCUUGCAUUUUUGGGAUUUCUGAAGUAAUCAGGGCUGCUUUGUAAUCAGUGGCUGCAAGGCACCCAACUGCAUGCUCCAGGCAACCCAAAGGGUUACUCUGCACCCUGUACAGGUGUGGAUGCACUUUCUCUGAGCCACCCCACCUCCAGCUGUUAAAACAAAUCCUCUUCCCUUCCUGAGAAGGCUGUCCCCCGUGUGCAGCCAGCUUCUCAGCUGCCUGUGUGGCUGCUCUCCUUGGAGGAGAUCUUGUUGUCAUGUUAUAACAAAGUUUUCUUAACAACUGGAUGAAAACUCUAUAGUUACACGGAAUUUGGUGUGGGCUAGGAAUUGGUUGAUGAGUCACAGUCUCAGAUAGUAGCCAGAAAAAUGGAACUUCAAAAUUGGGAACAAUUUUAGUGACAUUACCACAGGAGACAGGACCGACACCUGUAUUUAAGGUUUCAUUAAACAGAGAAAGAAUUAACACCAUUCAUACCAGCGUCACCAGUGGGCACCCGGCACAGACUGGGACGAAUCCGAAGCAGCCUGGAAAUAUUUCAGCCAUGGGCUGAAUGCAGCAAGACACAGCAGCCUGUGACCUCGGAGAGAGAAAAGAAAUAGCUCAGAUAUCUGGAAAGCAGUGAGAUGGAGGCUAACAGGUGAGAGCCAAGCUAAUACCACAUAAUCUUGCAGUUUAACAGCUCUGAGCAGAGCUGACGCCAUUCAGCUGCAAAAGCUGGGAAGAGUGUUGGUCGUGUGGCUGCUGGCAGUGCUGCUGGUGUGUUCCCACUCCCUGUCCCUCACCCUGCUCUGUCCCCACCUGCCUGGGGUGCCAGCCGUGCCCCAGCCAUGGGGACAGAGCCCUCUGGCUCAGGGCUUUUCCCUCCUGGAAGGGCCUGGGCGGCAGAGUGGUGGGCAGCACGGUGCCGUGCGUGUCUGUGGAUAAAAUACAAAAAAUAUCCCCCAAGGCUUUGGAGGAACAGAGGUAUGCCAUAGGAAUGAGACCAGGAUUAAAGCACAUGCUGGUGAAAGACUGAAGGAACCAAUGUUUUAUAAAUUAGCAAUGUUGAGAGCCAGAGGAGAUGCGGUCUCGGUCUAUAAAUACCUUCAAGGUAACAAUAUAAAUGAAGGAAGGGAAUUCAUCCGGAGCCUUGGAAGAUGGCCUCAGCAGAAGGACCUGCCUGCAGCCAAGGCAGGGAGGAGGAGGCUGGGUGCAGGAAGCCCCCAGCAGCCAGCGCUGGCAGCAGGGUGCUGGGCUCCAGGUGAGGCCAUGAGGAGCUACCUGCGAUGUGGUGCUGCCAGCCUGCUCCUUACACGCUGCUAGCUGCUGGCAGAUGGAAGGCAGAGCAAAGUUUGGAGAUCUGGUUUGUCUACAAGACAACACCGGGUGCUGCAACCUGGCCACGUUGCCACCUGUCCCCGCAGCCAGGCCACAGCGGCUCCCUGGAGGUUUGGGUCCCACCACCAUGUCCAUAAAACCAGAGUGUGUUCUGGUGAGUGCGUCCUCAAGGACAAAUGCAGUAUCUGGUGCUGCCACACAGUGGUGAAGAGGCAGUUCAGAAGGCAACAUCUGCAACCGUGGAGGAUCUUCAGAGCCUGAGACAACUCUGGGCUGACCCCAGGGGACAACCGGGAAGGAGCUGUGGGGAGCUGGCAGGCACAGCCCCAGUUUAAAGCUCUGUGGUGACCUACCUGACUCUUCCCUGGUGGACACAAUUCCCUGCAUGGUGUUCCCAAAGGUAUGCUCUCCUUUCCACUAUUGGUGCUGGGGAUGUGUCCCUCAUUGUAGCAGUAUCACCAUGAGGAACACGUCAGUAUUAUUUGUUAAAGUAUCUUCCCUUUGAUUUCAGCCCAGAAUUUCUGUUUAUCUCCUCUCAUGUCACCCAAACCAAGUAGCCUCCCAUGCUGGGCCUCACAGGUUUGACAGACUCACAGGCUCUUCUCAAGUCUCUGGGGUUAAUGCAGCUGCCUUGCUUUGGGCUACUUCACCCAAUGAGACCCUUGGGACAGGGGCAUGGACGCUUUGCUAUGAGUUACUGUGCAGAUGGGGUGUGCUGAUGGCACUGAUGGCAGCCUGGGUCCCCACAGCUGCCUUUACCUCCCUCAGUGCCAGCCUCUCCUCGCAAGGCUCGGAGGCCUCCAGCAGGGACCCUGAUGAGAUCCACCCUUGACACAUGAGCUCCUGACCAGGCCAAAUGCACUCAUUUUGAGACUCCAGACAGGGACAAAUGAAACACAGGACUCCAUUUGCCUGUGGCCUGAAUGACUCCUGAAAUAAUACUUGUCCUUCCAGGGUGUACUUACUGUGGUAUUUCCUGCCCGUAUUGCUGAGGUUCGCAGCUCUUUUGUAUUAUUUAUCUCUCCUCACUGGCGCUUACAACACCCUGAGCUUUGGGAUGAGCUGCGUUCACAGUGUGCUAUUAAUACUCCAUUGCAGAUCAUUACUAUAGAUGUUAAUUAAUACUCUAAGUAUUAGCCCUGUGGCAACCUGCUGGAAACUCCAUACAACUCAGCAGGCCGUAGCUCACUGGUGCUUGCUGCUCAGCCUGCCGGCAUCCCACUUCCCCCCAUCUACACCAGUCUCAAGUAACUUCUGAGCUGAGGCAACAGCUGAGCUGUAGGUGAGCCCACCAUCCAGUGGCUAGGAAAUGUGAUCAAAAGAAAUAAUCCCGUCAAAGGAAAUAAUAAUUUUUACAUGUUAUAGACUUGAAAAUAAUAAAUAAAAUGUUAUAUCACAUAUAUAAACCAUUAUUAUUAUGUAUAAUAACAAAGCAGCUGCACUAGAGCCAAGCACAGGGGCCAGCAUUUGGGUUCUCCAUUUCUACACCCUGAGUUUCUCCAGCUCUUGUGGCCCCGAUCCAGGCUGGCAGCUCCUGUGCAGGCGAUCCUCCGCCAAGACCCGCGAGUCCUUCUCAGAGAGGCUGCUUCCAAAGUCCUCGUUCCCCCUUUGCAGCCAUCCUUCUUUGCUUUCAGAUAAAUGAGUUUACUGUUGCUCAUACUAAAACAGAUAUUGUUUGCCUGCUCUUGUGUUAUACACAGCAGUCUGGAUUGCUGAGUAAAUGACUCCUUGCUGUUUAUCACCUGUGACGCCAGGAAGGGUGGCUGUGGGGUAACAGCUGCGGCUCCUGGCAGGCAGAGUGCUGGUCCGUGCCAGUUGGAGGGACCUUCUUCCCCAGAGCAGGAAACUGGCAGCACAAGCACUCGCUUUCCUCCCUCACCACCCACUUACCCUCAGCAGGCUGGCAAAUACCAUUUGCUGGGUUCCCUAGCUCCAUCGCGGGCGCACAGGUUUCUCAAGACAUCUUUACAAAAAUCUGGAAGCAGAGGGUGAGUAGUGAGAUGACACAGUCUGAAGAUGAUAUGAAAUCAUUCAAGUGACUGAAAUGAAGCUAAACACAACUACAGCUGAUUGCAAAGAGAGGAGGGUGAUCGCAUAAUACCAAGCGAGUGAAUCUUUAAAUGGCAAAUGAAAUUCAGUGUUUGUAGCUGCAAGAUAAUACGCAGGGGGGAAAAUAACCUGAGCUCUACACAUAAAAUCAUGGACUCUUAGAGAGCUGCUACCACCAGGAAAGGGGUUGUGGACUCACUGCAGAAGAUUCCCUGGAAACCACUCAGCGUUGGUCUAUGAAGUGAAUCUAGUAAUGAGAAUUAUUGAGAAACUUUGCCCUCUUAAUCCACCCUCAGCCAUGUCUUGAAUACUGCAGGCUGUACUAGUUCCUUCCCUCUUCUUCAUUUGCCUUCCAUCCUUACUUAAAGAUCAUGUCAAUGUAUUGGGAGAGGUAUGAAAGCUGGAACUAUCAGUGUAGUCACCAGAAAUCUGGAGAAGAAAGAGGGCGAAUGGCAAAGUGACAAAAUUUGUUGAUAGUAUUAUUCAAGGCUAAAGGACAAGAACUCACUGUGAAGAGAUUAGAAGGAUCUUACAAUUCAGAAUGACUGGACAAUAAAAUGUCAUUAAAAUCAAUGUAGAUAUCUGCAAAGGGAUGUAAUGGGAAUACACAAAUCUAAUUUCAAACACAUGUUGGGCUCUGAGUUGACUGUUACCACACAGAGAAAAGAUCUCAAGGUUAUCACAGAGAAACGUCUGGAAAUGUCACGCCCGUGUUCAGCAGAGAUCAGAAAAGCAAGGAGAAUGGUUGUGGGAGGAAUACAGACCAAAACAGAAAACAGCAUGAGGUCACCAUAAAACCCAUGUGCCACGUGUGCUGGGUGCAGUUCUGGUCUUCUGUCUGGAAAAGCAGAAAGAAGAACUAGAAGAGAGCGGAGCAGAGCACCAAGGAGCACAAGUGUUCACGGAUA